rnacentral:tRNA from 1 species
AUUUGAAUAGAUUAAUAUAAAUCAUAUUAUUGAAGCUAAUAUAAUAACUGUGUUUUCAAAUU